CACUUCUAAGGAAGGCAGCAGGCGCGCAAAUUACCCAAUCCUGACUCAGGGAGGUAGUGACAAGAAAUAACAAUAAACCGGCUUAUGCCGGUUUAAUUGGAAUGAGUACAAUUUAAACAUCUUAACGAGGAACAAUUGGAGGGCAAGUCUGGUGCCAGCAGCCGCGGUAAUUCCAGCUCCAAUAGCGUAUACUAAAGUUGUUGCAGUUAAAAAGCUCGUAGUUGGAUUUCUGUGGGGAUGGAGCGGCCGGCCGCAACACGCGGUUCGAGCUAGCGCUUUCCCUACAUCCUGCCGCGAACCGUGCUACCAUUAGUUUGGUGGCGCCGGGGAUCGGCUCGAUUACUUUGAGAAAAAUAGAGUGUUCAAAGCAGGCCACAUGCCUUGAAUAAGUUAGCAUGGAAUAAUAACUAAGGACUUCGGUUCUAUUUUGUUGGUGUUCGGGACUGAAGUAAUGAUUGAUAGGGACAGUUGGGGCGGUCUGUAUUCCAAAGCGAGAGGUGAAAUUCUUAGACCUUCGGAAGACAAACAGCUGCGAAAGCGUUCCGCAAGGAUGUUCCCUUUGAUCAAGAACGAAAGUUGGGGGAUCGAAGACGAUCAGAUACCGUCGUAGUCUCAACUAUAAACUAUACCAGCUAGGGAUCGGCCAACGUUAUUUUAUACCGACCUGGUCGGCACCUUAUGAGAAAUCAAAGCAUCUGGGUUCCGGGGGGAGUAUGGUCGCAAGGCUGAAACUUAAAGGAAUUGACGGAAGGGCACCACCAGCCGUGGAGCCUGUGGCUUAAUUUGACUCAACACGGGAAAACUUACCAGGUCCAGACAUAGUAAGGAUUGACAGAUUGAUAGCUCUUUCUUGAUUCUGUGGGUGGUGGUGCAUGGCCGUUCUUAGUUGGUGGAGUGAUUUGUCUGGUUAAUUCCGUUAACGAACGAGACCCCAGCCUGCUAAAUAGCGCGCGUGAGCUUUGCUCGCGGCGAGCUUCUUAGAGGGACUCUGAUGCGCGAUAGCACAUGGAAGUUUGGGGCAAUAACAGGUCUGUGACGCCCUUAGAUGUUCUGGGCCGCACACGGGCUACACUGGCGCCUGCAUCGAGCAUAUCAGCUGGCCCGAGAGGGUCUUGGCUAAUCUUUUGAACCGGCGCCGUGCUUGGGAUUGACCUUUGCAAUUGUUGGUCAUGCAACGAGGAAUGCCUUGUAAACGCGAGUCAUCAGCUCGCAUUGAAUACGUCCCUGCCCUUUGUACACACCGCCCGUCGCUCCUACCGAUGAAUGUUCCGAUGAAAUUUUCGGAGAGCACCUGUGAACUUGGCUCUGCCUUGCGAACGGGAAGCUCAAAGUCACUUAAAUCUGAACAUUUCG
rnacentral:rRNA from 1 species